CCGGCCAAGGACCGAAGUCAGAAGCCACAGUACAGCAGCCCUUCCAGUCCGUCUUCAACGGCGUAAGACCUCUAUUGCUCGGGGAGCCAGCAAGCACCCAUGACCAUCAACGAUGGGAACAAAGACUUGGAGGGCUCCUGAACUUUCUGGAAACAAAUUGUCUAGGUUACAGAGGCCAGUAUGGAAAGGCCACCAGAGAACUGUGGAGAACCUCACAAGUUGACUGUCAGCAAUUCAGAAAGCAGACAGCUUCCCCCAACCAACAAUCCAAGGAUGGAAGGGCGAGAGUCACAGGCGUUCAGUGACACCCACUAAGUGUACAUAAGGGAAAUAAAGCCAGUUCCCCAAAACUAA
rnacentral:lncRNA from 1 species